CUGAGUUAUAAAAAAUAGAAAAUUCAGAAAACAACUUAAGUGUGUUUUCAAAAUUCUCAGAAAACAAACAAAGAGCAAAGGAGAGAGCAACAAUGGAGUUAUUCCCUACGAAGUGCUUUGGCUCCAAUGGUUCUACACAAAUCUCAGCCUCAACAUCUCCAUUCUCUUGAGCAUUUCACUCAAUCAAGACUACUAAACUUCAAGAAGGAGAUUAUGUCCUCAUCCCAUCAUAGGAGGAAUAUAUAGCAGCCGGGUAUUAUAAAAUGGGCGUUUCUAGCUCAAGAGUAGAAGAAGAUAAAGCCCUGCAGCUAUGUCGUGACAAGAAGAAGUUUGUUAGGCAAGCACUUGAUGGGAGGUACACACUAGCAGUAGCUCAUGUUGCAUAUAUUCAGUCACUAAGGAGCACCAGAGUGGUUCUUAAAAAAAUUGUUGAGCCCAAAGCUCCAGUUGAAUCUUCCUUGUAUGCUUCCACUACUGCAACGCCCGGACCUCUUGCUCUGACUGAGAAAACAAAUUCUCAGUUUUCAUUUACUUGUGCAUAUACAUCAAUAUGCUAAAUGUUGUUUGUGUUUGAGCUUUAGAUGAUUGACAAUUAAAACUUUUGGAACUUACAAAAAGUAUGAGACCAACUUUGUCGGAUUGGUGAGAAAAAGGGUGUUCAACUUUUCGUUAAGUACUUUUUGCUAGCUAGUAAUUGUAAUGGGAAUUAACAAUACUCUUAUUUUUUUUGUUAGGAUCUAGUUGCUUUAAAUUUAUAUUUUGUUUCAGGAAGAUUUUUGAGUGAUAGUCUUUAUAAUGUGUUUAUGAUUU